rnacentral:ncRNA from 1 species
GGGUCCGGCGGGCCACUGACCUCCUGAAAGAACCGGGGGAAAGUACUACCCGCCCACCCUCCCUCCCCGGUCGCGAAGCACGCGUUCACCCGUCCGAGUGACCGGCUUGCAGGCGCGGGAUGCGGGCGGUUACGUUCGCCGCGACAACCACAGACAAAUGCGGCCCCCGGCCGGGAUUCCCGUCCCGAUCGAGGGCCUGACCGAUCAGGAAGCGAUACCUUCCCA